GUUGCCUUGUGGUGUACCUGUGCUGAUGGAGAUUGUGGAGAUGUCGUUUCCAAUCCAAACUGGGAUCUGCAAGUGAGGAAAUCAAGGAUCCAGUUGUACAAGGAGGCAUUGAGGACAAGAUGCUGCCUGGCCUGCUGAGUUCCUCCAGCAUUUUGUGUGCGUUGCUCGGAUUUCCAGCACCUCGUUUCUAUUUUGUUUCUUGGAUUUAUUGUGUAUGCCCACAAGAAAGCAUCACCAGGUUGUAUAUAUAUACUUUGAUAAAUUUACUUUGAACUUUGGAAGCAUAAGGCAAGUCAAGGCGGAAAAUACACUUCACAAACUUCUACAGGUGUACUGUAAAAAGUAUCCUAACUGGUUGCGUCAAGCUUGGUAUGACAAUUCCAAUGCACAGGAACACAAAAGGUUGCAGAGAGUAGCAUCAGCUGUAGGAAGCACUGCCUCAAGAAGGAUCCCCCUACCGUCUGGGACAUGUUCAUUUUCUUGCAGCUGCCAACAGGCAGGAGGUAUAAAAGUCUAAAUUCCCACACUGCGAGAUUCAAGAACAACCAUUAGACUCUUGAACUGACUUGCACAACCCUAAAGCUACCUCAGCAAUGGAACACUCUUGCACCGCUAUAAACUAGCUCCUAAUUGUUUCUGCAUUUGUUCAUUGUUUUGCAAUAUCUUUCUUCACUAUCUUGUGUAAUUCAUUUGCAUUUCAUACAUACAUACCUCAUAUACCUUGUCCUCUGUGUGCUCUCUGAAUCUAUGAACCUGUGGUGCUGCAAGCAAGAUUUUCUUUGUACCAGUACCUCAUCUAUACUUGUGCACAUGACAAUCAGCUCCACUUGACUCAGUACAUUAAAAUUCUCAGGAUUCGAUAUUGAAUUUGCCAAUUGCAGAUACCCCACCCUCUCCUUUUUCUCAAAUAUAUCGAUAUCUUUAUUCCAAUUUGUGUCUGUACCUUUGUGUUCCAGCUGCCAGUUUUUAAAGUAGCUGUUACCUUAACACAUUAGACAUGCACCCUAUCAGAGCCACCCCUUCUGCUCUCUCCACCGCCCUCCCCUUCUCCAAUUGACAACGGGGUUGACUUUCUCCUCCUCCAGUGCUGACGGAGAUUCCGGAACGGUAACUGUCCGAUGCUGCCUGAGCCGCUGAGUUGUUUUGGUUUUCCUGAAUCUCGCUCUAAUGCAACAGCCUCCUCUAUUGGAAUUGGAACUGGUUUAUUAUUGCCACAUCUACCGAGACAGAGUGAAAAGCUUGUCUUGCGUACGGUUCAUAUGGAUCUAUUCAUUGUACAGUCACUGAGGCAGAACAUGGUAAAGUAAUAGCACAAUACGGAAUGCAGUGUCAUAGCUUCAGAGAAUGCGCAGUUGAGGGAAACAAUAAGAUGCAAGAUCAGAACAAGACGUAUAGGAAUGAGAUUGAGUGGUGCCACUACAAAAAUCUCAGCAAAGCUAAAGAGCUGAUUAUUGACUAAGUUGUAUCCGUGACUUUCUACAGUUUAUUGCUGUCAAGGCAGAGAAGUUGCCAUACCAGGUCAUGAUGCAUCUAGAUACGAGGUGUUCUACAGUGUACUGAUACAAAUUGGUGAGGGUCGGCAGGAAUGUGCUAAGUUUCUUUAGACUCCCGAGGAGUAGAGGCACUCGCGUACUUUCUUGGCCAUGAUAUCUACGUGCCUGGACCAGUACAGGCUAUCGGUGAUGUUCACUCCUAGGAACUUCAAGCCUGGUAUGGGAACAGCACCAACCUUGAGUGCUGGCCACUGCAGAGGGUGGCCCAGUGCAUCUGUGGACAUGAACGACCCUUCAUUGAGGAUAUUUACAGCAGCAGGUGCAGAAAGAAGGCCUGGAAGAUCAUUGGGGACACCAGUCACCCCAAACAUAAACUGUUUCAGCUGCUUCCAUCUGCCAAACACUACUGCAGCAUUAAAGCCAGGACCAACAGGCUGUGGGACAGCUUCUUUCGACAAGCCAUUAGACUUUUAAAUUCACAUGUCUGUACAUUAUGAUGGAGUCAUAACGCAAAGAUUUUUACUCCCUCACAUUGUGGGAUAGAUGUAAGAUUUAAAUAAAUUCUAAUUCUAAUCUCUUAACCUUUACACCAUUGAUGUAGACAGGAGUGUGUGCAUUGCACCCCUUCCUGAAGUCAAUAACCAGCUCUUUUGUUUUGCUGGCAUUGAGGGUUCUCUAUUCCCAGAAUUACUGUGAAUCUCUUUUGUCUCUGGACUCCCCGACCAAACCUCACCCAUGCUCCUCCCCACACCCUUCAGCCACUAAUUUUGGUCUUAACACGAACCUUUCAACCCAUUCAUUUUCCAGUUCUAAAUAUUUUUUGGCUCCAGUGUUUCCCUCGUUCUCUGGCGCAGAAGCCCAUUUGUGUGGGAAGGAAAAACGAACUGCAGAAAUGGCAGAGAUAUGACUGGUGUGCGGUCGGUCAGAUCUGGUUGUUGUGCAUGUAAUGCAGGACUUGGGAUUUAUUCACAGACGACUGACAUGGUGAGGUGGAGUGCAGUGUGUGUGGGUAACAAGGGAAGGUGGGGAUGUGGCAUGGACCAAAGUUUGAAAUGGUAAGACAAUAAGAUGCAGGAGCAUAAUUAGGCCAUUUGGCCCAUUGAGUCAGUUCUACCAUUCAAUCAUGGCUGACUUUUUUUCCUCAACCCCUUUGUUUUGGUCCAUUUUUAUAAACAUCUGCAUUUUCACCUCUUAAUGGUGGGAUAUCAUUGCCGAGACUUUGUAACCAUUGGUCAGACCAUAUUGUAGUACUGUGAGCAGUUUUGGGCUCCAUAUCUAGAAAGGAUGUGUUGACAUUGGAAUCAGUACAGAGGAGGUUUACAAGAAUAAUCCUAAGAAUGAAAGGGUUAAUGUGUGAGGAGUGUUUGAUGCCUCUGGACCUAUACUCUCUGGAUUUUAGAGGAUGAGGGUGGAUUUCGAUGAAACCUACCAAAUAUUGACAGGCUGAGUCAGAUUGGAUGGGGAGAGGAUGUUUUCAGUGGUGGGAGAGUCCAGGACCAGAGGGCACAGCCUCAGAAUGGAAGGAUAUUUCUUUAGAAUGGAGAUGUGGAGUAAUUUCUUUAGCCAGAGAGUGGCGAAUCUGUGGAAUUCAUUGCUCUUUAUUUAUGAUUUAUAAUUUAAAUUUUUAUUAUAUUUGCUAUCGAUUUGUACUUCAGGGAGCGCGAAGUGCAGAAUCAAAUAUUGCUGUGAUAAUUGUAUGCUCUAGUAUCAAUUGGUUGGCCACAAUAAAGUAGUAAUAAUAAUAAUAAUAAUAAUAAUAAUAAUACAGGCAGCUGUGGAGGCCAAAUAAUUGGGAAUACAUCAGGUGUAGUUUGGUAGGUUCUUGAUUGGUAAGUGUGUCAAAGGUUACAGGGAGUAGCCAGGAGAAUGGGGUUGAGAGGUAUAAUAAGUUAGUCACAAAUUAAUGGCAGUGCAGACUUUAUAGCGAAAAUGUCUUACGAAGGACCUUAGGGAUGAAACGCCUAGAACACUGCCCUGAGCAACACCUGUGCUGAGAAGGUGUAUGAUGCGUGUUCUGGGACUGGAGAGUCUCCUGCAGUCCUUUGUACAGUUACUAAACUGUGAAGUGUAAUAGAUAGAGAGAUUGUUGCUGACCUCAGCUUUCUUUCACAGCAGUAUGACCUUUUCAAAGGGUCAGAGUCGUUUGUGAUAAAGUUAAA